rnacentral:rRNA from 1 species
GAUGAACGCUGGCGGCGUGCUUAACACAUGCAAGUCGAACGGAAAGGCCGAAGCUUGCUUCGGUUCACGAGUGGCGAACGGGUGUGUAACACGUGUGUGAUCUGCCCUGUACUUCGGGAUAAGCCUGGGAAACUGGGUCUAAUACCGGAUAUGACACUCCCUUGGAUGGGGUUGUGGAAAGCUUUUGCGGUAUGGGAUGAGCUCGCGGCCUAUCAGCUUGUUGGUGGGGUAAUGGCCUACCAAGGCGUCGACGGGUAGCCGGCCUGAGAGGGUGUACGGCCACAUUGGGACUGAGAUACGGCCCAGACUCCUACGGGAGGCAACAGUGGGGAAUAUUGCACAAUGGGCGCAAGCCUGAUGCAGCGACGCCGCGUGGGGGAUGACGGCCUUCGGGUUGUAAACUCCUUCCGCAGCAGACGAAGCUUUUGUGACGGUAGGUUGAGAAGAAGCACCGGCUAACUACGUG